GACGCCAUCAUCCAGCGCGGUGUUUAGGCUCCACUGAUGUCGUGGCGCUUUGGGGCAAGAAGUUGGUGUUGCUCGGGCCCCUGGGACUGAAGACGAGGUCCGGGUGACUCCGGCCUUUUCCUACCCACAUCUCCCUCUCUCGCCUUUCUCUCCUUCCUCUGGCAGGAUGAGGCGUGCAGGCCUGGGUAAGAAGUGAGCUGAGGUUCAAAGUUUGGGGACCCCAGAAACAGCCUUGCUCGGAGGCAUAGAGCUGUGGGAGGGUCUCGACUGGUCUCCUGUCAUAGGCAUUGGGGCUUUAAAGUGGGAUGUUUGAAGGUAAUCUUUGGAGGCAGUCCGAGUGGAAACACGUAAUUUGUCCCACAUCCCAGGGAGUUUCUUAAGUCCAAUUCAGACCAAGUUUGGAUGGUAGGUUAGAGGGAGUAGAUCUGGAGCUGGGUUAUGUACAAGUGCCAACUCAGUAGUGGUUUUUUUUUGUUGUUGUUGUUGUUGUUUUGUUUUGUUUUUUAGUCUCUAAGUAGUGAUUAUGGAAACUGCUCAAUUUCCCUAAGCCUGANAAAGUGGGGGGCUGGGGAUGUGUGCUUAAGUGCCCAUAGGAUCAAUCUCUAAAAAGAGAAGACAAAAGAAAAUUAAAAAGUGGUCCAGGUCAUUAAAGUGAAAAAGAACUGAUUUUGAACAACAAACAUUUAUUGUGUAAUUAAGUAAGCUUUAAUUACAUAGUCAUUUGUCACCUUGUUUAUGCUCCCCAAAGCUUUCCAACCUAGCUGGGGAGUAGGACUGUGUACAAAGAUAAAUUAUGGUACAAAAGUGCUAGCUAAACAUCCAAAUACCAGAUAAGUUCUGCAGAUAGUGAAUGUUUCCGAGAUUGCAGAGAUGGAUCACUAUGUACUUUGUGGAAACAUCGGAAUUUCAACUAGACUUUGAUUAGUGGAGAGUGGGAGAAGUAAGUUCCAGAUGGGAGGGUGACCAAAAUUUUUUAAAAAGGUUUGUACUAGAACUACAUCAUAAUCAAGAGAUUAUGAUGAUUAAACUAGUUUGAUUGAAGUAGGGGAUAUGAGACCACAUUGUGGAGGUUUUUGCAAAACUCCCAAGGCACAUGGGUUUACAUCAUUAGUAGACUAUUGCCCAUUUGAAUGUAUUUUUUUGUCUUCCUAAAUUUCAAGAAAUAGACUUGAGAAAUGAUAGUUCUCAGCCCAACUGUACAUUAGAAUUACCUGGGAAGUUUUUAAAGUGUUGUUAUCUGGAUCCCAAUUAAAUUAGAAUCUCAUGGAUAGAGUUCUCAUAAUCCGUAUAUAUGCUUCAACCAUUCUUUUGGCAAGCAAUCUCAAACUUUUGGGACUCUGUUUUUCUCUAGCCCCCGUGUUGUACCUCCAGCUCUAGAUCAGUCUAACAGUGUGGCUUUUCAAGGGUUAAUUCAGGCCAUUGAGUUCUUCUAUAAAACAUCUGGGAGGAAUGAAACCAUUACAACAUAUUGUGGCAACCAGGUUGGUUUUAACCUCCUAGUAGUCCUGAGCAGUCCUGGUCAUUGCUCUUCAUUAUUCUCUUUACUUUUUAUUUCAAAUGAUCAUCCAUUCAAAUGAUCACCAAAUAGCCCCCUUUCUUCCUUUACUGAGGAAACUGAUGACAUCAACUUUUUAAAAAUGUGGUUAGAUAACACCCUCAACCAUGCUUUCCCGUUUCAACCCCCCAGCACAUUUAUGUUGCAUUCACUCUCUAAGGCUCACUGCACCUGUUGUUUGCCUGAUGAAUACCAAGUACCUUAUUAGGGUGGUGGGGACUGUAUUCCUAGUGCCAUCCCCUAGAAGAUACGUUCUAUAGAAGGACCACCUGAAAAGAGUAGUUGAUGUGACAUAUAGCUCAAAUAUUUGUUGAAGAAUGACUAAAAUGCGACAGAACUCUCAACUAAUAUUCUCCAUAAGUUAUUCCCUCUCCUAGGACUUCAGCUUGUGUUCCCUUCACCCCUUGACUCUUUCCCAUUCAGGGAAAGAGAUGCUGGUGAAACAUCAUCCAUCUGCCAAGAGUUUCCCUCCCACGAUGCUUUCUUCCUUUCCUUCAAAACUAGAUUUCUUCAAUGAGUAGUUAAUGUAACUGCUUUUAGAUCUUUUAUUAAAACAUAUUUCUAAUGAGCAGGAUAUGUGUGCCAAUAUCCUUGUAUGGCAGUGCCUAUUUUAGUGUCUUCUGAAUAAUCAGUAAGUGAUUAAUAAAUAUGUAUUGAAGUAAACUGAAUGUUCUUUAUUUAAGAGAAGUAAUGGAAAGAAUUGGUUUGAUCUCUGUUUCUAAAUUUUGAAAAUUUACUUGGAGUACGAAUAUUAUAGACAUAUGUGGUCUGCAACGCCCUCAAGGGGUCUUUUUCGGUUCUUUCCUAUUAAACUUUCAAAAGUGGCUUUUGGUUUACUACACUAACCUUGUGACUCUUGUCCUUGCAGGUGAAGGAGCACCUUCUGGCAACUAUGGGAACCAUGGCUAUUCUCACAGUGGGUACAGUGCCUGUGAAGAAGAGAAUGAGAGACUCACCGAGAGUCUUAGAAGCAAAGUAACUGCUAUAAAAUCUGUAAGUAUCUUGUUAGCAUGGUAUACAUUUUGAUUGGUAUGUUUGUAUACAUAUAUCACAUACUUAUAAACUAUACUUUUUAUUGGCAUGCACUGAGGAAGAUGGUUAUUCAAAUACUGUGGUUUAGCAAAGUCAAAAUGCACUCAAAAUUUAGCUUCUUUAAGUAAGUUAGAAAAUGUGACAAAUCCAAAGAUAUGGUAUUUUCAAAUUUUUUUUUAAACUCUGGCUAUGUUUUGUGUUAAAAUCUGAAAAAUACUAUAUAUAUUCUGCAGUAAUGUCUCAACCAUCUUCCACCCCCAGUAACUCUUCUCCUUUUUCUAGUCUCCUAAGAUAAAAAACCAAAGUCUUUCUUGUUUCUGCCUUUGAAUGUCAUUUCAGUCACUGAGUCAUAUGCUGUCUUGUGUUUCUAUCUCUGUUUUCCUGUUUCUCUCUUUCUAAUACUAGCCCUCGUUUCCAAGGUGAGUCAUUGGGAGAAUCUCUUAACCUCUAUUCUGACCUCAGCUACAUACUGUUGCCAGAAUAAUCUUUGUAUUUUUAAAAUUGCAUUCUGAGCUCCGAAAUGUCUUUGGUGACUUCUGUGAUUUACCAAAUAAAGUUCACACUCUUUACCUUGACUGAAUAGGUCCUUCAAAUAUGGGCUCCAACUUUUCUGACUUCUUGCACAUCCAGAAUCCACAUAUAUUUUCUGCCAGAAAAAUGAGAGUGCUCUUUGUGUCUUCUGUAUGCUGUUGCCAUUCCAUCCCAUAUCUUUGAUCAUGCCAACUCUUUGCCAUGGUCAUCCUCUUCCUAUGUUGACUAAAGCUGUGCUUUUCUUGAGAGACCCUACUUUAUUGCUUUAGCUAAUCACUAUAUCCAAAGUAACUCUUUUCCUUAUGAAUGUAUUUCUG
rnacentral:lncRNA from 1 species